rnacentral:rRNA from 1 species
UGGGGAAUAUUGGACAAUGGGCGCAAGCCUGAUCCAGCCAUACCGCGUGGGUGAAGAAGGCCUUCGGGUUGUAAAGCCCUUUUGUUGGGAAAGAAAAGCAGCCGGUUAAUACCCGGUUGUUCUGACGGUACCCAAAGAAUAAGCACCGGCUAACUUCGUGCCAGCAGCCGCGGUAAUACGAAGGGUGCAAGCGUUACUCGGAAUUACUGGGCGUAAAGCGUGCGUAGGUGGUUGUUUAAGUCUGUCGUGAAAGCCCUGGGCUCAACCUGGGAAUGGCGAUGGAAACUGGGCGACUAGAGUGUGGCAGAGGGUAGUGGAAUUCCUGGUGUAGCAGUGAAAUGCGUAGAGAUCAGGAGGAACAUCCGUGGCGAAGGCGACUGCCUGGGCCAACACUGACACUGAGGCACGAAAGCGUGGGGAGCAAACA